AGUUUGAUCCUGGCUCAGAACGAACGCUGGCGGCAGGCUUAACACAUGCAAGUCGAACGCCCCGCAAGGGGAGUGGCAGACGGGUGAGUAACGCGUGGGAAUCUACCGUGCCCUGCGGAAUAGCUCCGGGAAACUGGAAUUAAUACCGCAUACGCCCUACGGGGGAAAGAUUUAUCGGGGUAUGAUGAGCCCGCGUUGGAUUAGCUAGUUGGUGGGGUAAAGGCCUACCAAGGCGACGAUCCAUAGCUGGUCUGAGAGGAUGAUCAGCCACAUUGGGACUGAGACACGGCCCAAACUCCUACGGGAGGCAGCAGUGGGGAAUAUUGGACAAUGGGCGCAAGCCUGAUCCAGCCAUGCCGCGUGAGUGAUGAAGGCCUUAGGGUUGUAAAGCUCUUUCACCGGUGAAGAUAAUGACGGUAACCGGAGAAGAGGCCCCGGCUAACUUCGUGCCAGCAGCCGCGGUAA
rnacentral:rRNA from 1 species